rnacentral:lncRNA from 1 species
CUUAUUAUUAUUCCAAAAAGUAUACGCAUUUAAAUACUCUGUUACCGACCGUUCUUAGAGCAGGUGGCGAAGAACUCGGUGGUUGGUAUCCGAGGUUCCAAGUUCGAAUCCUAAUUGAUUCAUAUUCCCAGCUAAAUUUAUUUUCGAAUGAAAUAUACGAAGCGGGCUCUGUUCUCUUUUAUAGUAAAUACAAAGCAACGAGAGAAAGAAAAAAGAAGGAACUAAAAAAAGAGCUCGGCGACCUAUUGAAUUUUUUUUUUUUAUUUUAUUGUUUAUGUCGUCAUGCAUCUCGACAGAUCUGUCGAACGUAAACAUAUUAU